GAUGAAGAACUUAGCGAAAUGCGAUAAGUAGUGUGAAUUGCAGAAUUCAGUGAAUCAUCGAAUCUUUGAACGCACAUUGCGCCCCUUGGUAUUCCAUGGGGCAUGCCUGUUCGAGCGUCAUUUGUACCUCCAAGCUUUGCUUGGUGUUGGGUGUUUGUCUCGCCUUUGCGUGUAGACUCGCCUUAAAAUAAUUGGCAGCCGGCGUAUUGAUUUCGGAGCGCAGUACAUCUCGCGCUUUGCACUCAUAACGACAGCGUCCAAAAGUACAUUUUACACUCUUGACCUCGGAUCAGGUAGGGAUACCCGCUGAACUUAAGCAUAUCAAUAAGCGGAGGA
rnacentral:misc_RNA from 1 species